UGAUGACUUAACCAAACCAGCUGCUGGACCCUCAGCUGGAGGGACAGCUCAAUACACCAUGGUAGACGGUGAGCACUUUGUGGAUAAACAUAGAACCGAGCUGAUCGACAGAGUGAACUGCGUUGGAAACAUUUUGGAUCAGCUCCUUGGGAAA